AAAAAGCCUUCGCCAGCUCAUCACCACCAUCAUCAUCUCCUCCUUUAAAAAGAAAGCUAGGGACUACUUCAUCGCCUUCUUUCGUUUCGCCUUUAAUCUAUAGCCUUUUUGUUUUUGCGGUUUCUCUCGAUCAGCUAAGUUUCGAUCCAUUCUUGUUCUAGCUUUUCAAUAGCUUCUCCUCCUUCGCUUUCUUCGUUUCUGUUCUCAGAUCUAUUCUCUAUUGAUUUCAGAUCUAGAUCUAGGGUUUGUUCGAAUAAAAAUUGGGGGAAUUUGAAAAAGAAGGAAUGAUUGUAGGUUCUCUAUGAGCUACUCAGUUCUUCUUCGUCGUAUUCGCAUAGUCCACUCUUUCUCCGUCGUUUAUCUCUACUAUACCUACGUCUUCUCAUGAACUAAUCGUUUCCGAUCUCAUCUCGAAUAAACAUUUCUGAGUUUUUUUUUUCCAUUCAAUCUAAACCGAUUCUUUGAUAGAUUAGAGAGCGGGGAAUUUAAGAUCUUUGUGUAGAAUUUGGGGGUAAUUUAUAGGGAUUUUAGAAAAAAAAUUAUAUUAUUAUAUUGUUUUAAUUUUGGUGAGGAAAAAGUCAAAAAGUCAACGGAAAUGGGGUCGAAAAGUCCUGAUUACGACAACGAUCCGAGGUACGCUUCCGUCACGGACGAGAGGAAGAGGAAGAGAAUGAUCUCCAACAGAGAGUCCGCCCGGAGAUCAAGGAUGAGGAAGCAGAAGCAGCUCGGCGAUCUCAUCAACGAGGUUACCGUUCUCAAGAACGAUAACGCCAAGAUCACCGAGCAGGUUGACGCGGCGACGAGGAGGUACGUCGAGAUGGAGUCCAAGAACGACGUCUUGAGAGCGCAAGCGGUUGAGCUGACGGAGAGGUUGAGGUCGUUGAACUCUGUGCUGGAGAUGGUUGAGGAGAUUAGUGGUCAGGCUUUGGAUAUUCCUGAGAUUCAGAACCCUUGGCAGAUUCCUUGUCCGAUUAUGCAUACCAAUCAUGGCUUCUGCUGAUAUGUUUGAAUGCUCUGAGGAUUUACUCAUUGUCUUGUCCGUUCGAGUUUUGUAACAACUAGAGUCAUUGGUGUGUGUCAUCUUUAUAAAAACUUCAGUCUCUUGUUUUUUCAGUUAUUUCAGUUUGUGUGGUCUUGCGGUUGUCUUUUAUUCUUGUGUCGUCUAUUACAUAAGAUAAGGUUGUCAUGUAUUUGUGUUUCUAGAUGAAUUCAAGCUUUGUGUUGUUUUUCUUA